GACGAACGCUGGCGGCGUGCUUAACACAUGCAAGUCGAACGAGAACUAGAGACUAUUCUUUUAGAUUAGACUUUAGGGAAAGUGGCGAACGGGUGAGUAACGCGUGGGCAACAUGCCCUUCACAGGGGGAUAACAUCGGGAAACCGAUGCUAAUACCGCAUAAACCGGCAGUAUAGCAUUAUACAACCGGCAAAGGAGCAAUCCGGUGAAGGAGUGGCCCGCGUCCAAUUAGCUAGAUGGUGGGGUAAAAGCCUACCAUGGCGACGAUUGGUAGCCGGACUGAGAGGUUGACCGGCCACAUUGGGACUGAGACACGGCCCAGACUCCUACGGGAGGCAGCAGUGGGGAAUAUUGCACAAUGGGGGAAACCCUGAUGCAGCGACGCCGCGUGAAGGAAGAAGGCUUUCGGGUUGUAAACUUCUUUGAUUAGGGACGAAGAAAGUGACGGUACCUAAAAAACAAGCCACGGCUAACUACGUG
rnacentral:rRNA from 1 species